UUUAAAGACAAAAAUUCUGUCUCUUAAUUCAACAUCGCAUUAGUUUGCAAGUCUUGAAGCCAAAGUGUGGUAGCACCCCAACAGUAUGUAGUGGCUUCCCUGGUGGCUCAGAUGGUAAAGAAUCUGCCUGCAAUGCAGGAGACCUGGGUUUGAUCCCUGGGUUGGAAAGAUCCCCUGGAGAAGAUAAUGGCAACCCACUCCAGUGCUGUUGCCUGGAAAAUUCCAUAGACAAAGGAGCCUGGUGGGCUACAGUCCAUGGAGUCGCAAAGAAUCACAACUGAAUGACUAACACACACACACACACAUUCCUAAUCUGGAAGGCACACCUUCCUCUCAUCUGAACAUUUUUCAGCUCUAAUACACAACCUAUGUAAUCAUAGAUGCUAUAGGAAGAGGCACACAGACCACCGUUAAUUGUGGGGUACAAAUAUAAACAUUUUGAGGGACUUCCUUGGCCAUCCAGUGGUUAAAACUGCACUCCCUUUUUAGGGGGUGCAGGUUCAAACCCUGGUCGGGAAACUAGAUCCCGCAUGGCACAGUGAAAGCAAAAAACAAUACAUGUUUUUCUCUUUUUUUCCUCUAUUCAUUCUCCUGAGCCUAUCUUUAUUUCUAAAUGCCUUUAUUUUCUUCAUUCUGGACUGUUUUUUAAGCAUUAAUUUUUGUUUUUAAAGUAUUACAUCAAAAUAGUAACUGUCUUGACUACUGAGUUUUUGGUGCACCCUUAAAUUUUGUGACCAAGGCCUAGUCCCAGCCCUGCAACCUAGGCAUUGACUGUGUUCAAUCUCAUGAUUUGGCUGGUGUUAGGAUAAAAGAAGUUUCUCAAUUCUGUUUCAUAAAAAGCAUUCACAUUCCACUGUCAGAGAUUUCAGAGCUUAGCCACUGAGUUUUCUUUAAUAUAUGUCUGCUGUAAAAUUAUUACAACUCAACUGACUCUUGUCAAUUGUUUGGAAGAUGGAGGGAAAUGGCAGAAGUUAAAAGCCAGUAGGAGCUCCCAGAUCUUCAUUUUACCAAGUGGGGAAAUCAUUAAAUACUCUUUUGGGGUAAAAAAAAAAAAAAAAAAAAGGUUAACUCAUAACGUUAGGGACAGUAAAGAAUCCACCUCCUAUGCCGGAGACCUGUGUUCGAUUCCUGGGUUGGGAAGAUACCCUAGAGGAGGGCAUGGCAACCCACUCCAGUAUUCCUGCCUGGAGACUCCCCAUGGACAGAGGAGCCUGGCCGGCUACUGUCCAUGGGGUCAGAAAGAGUCGGACACGACUGAGUGACUAAGCACAAAUCAUAAAAUUAUCCCAUAAGAAUAACCGCAAAUAGUGGUAGACCUGUGUGGAGGGAAAGACGUAGUAGCACUUUAGUCAUAACACAAAGUCAAUAGAUAAUGUCUUUAGAUGCUAAAUAAAUAGCAAUAUAAGUAUACUUUUACAUACAUGGAAGUUACUGCCUGAAGAACUGAAGACAAAAAAUUAAUGGUAUCUGUGGAAUAGGGUUGGGGGCGAUUCGCAGAACAAUGUUACCUUUCAUUAAAAACUCUGAUGUCCUUUAUUUUUUUAAAUGUGCAUGCUAUACUUUCAGUUCAGUUCAGUUCAGUCCCUCAGUCAUGUCCGACUCUUUGCGACCCCAUGAACCACAGCAUGCCAGGCCUCCCUGUCCAUCACCAACUCCCAGAGUUCACCCAAACCCAUGUUCAUUGAGUCGGUAAUACCAUCCAACCAUCUCAUCCUCUGUCAUCCCCUUCUCCUCCUGCCCUCAAUCUUUCCCAGCAUCAGGGUCUUUUCAAAUGAGUCAGCUCUUCGCAUCAGCUGGCCAAAGUAUUAGAGUUUCAGAUUCAACAUCAGACCUACCAAUGAAUACCCAGGAAUGAUCUCCUUUAGGAUGGACUGGUUGGAUCUCCCUGCAGUCCAAGGGACUCUCAAGAGUCUUCUCCAACACCACAGUUCAAAAGCAUCAAUUCUUUGGCGCUCAGCUUUCUUUAUAGUCCAACUGUCACAUCCAUACAUGACCACUGGAAAAACCAUAGCCUUGACUAGAUGGACCUUUGUUGACAAAGUAAUGUCUCUGCUUUUGAAUAUGCUAUCUAGGUUGGUCAUAACUUUCCUUCCAAGGAGUAAGUGUUUUUUAAUUUCAUGGCUGCAAUCACCAUCUGCAGUGAUUUUGGAGCCCCAAAAAAUAAAGUCUGACACUGCUUCCACUGUUUCCCCAUCUACUACUCAUGAAGUGAUGGGACCAGAUGCCAUGAUCUUCGUUUUCUGAAUGUUGAGCUUUAAGCCAACUUUUUCACUCUCUUUCACUUUCAUCAAGAGGCUGUUUAGUUCUUCACUUUCUGCCAUAAGAGUGGUGUCAUCUGCAUAUCUGAGGUUAUUGAUAUUUCUCCUGGAAAUCUUGAUUCCAGCUCAAAAAAAGACAGAACAAUCUCUGUUCAUUUCCAAGGCAAACCAUUCAAUAUCAUGGUAAUCCAAGUCUAUGCCCCAACUAGUAACGCUGAGGAAGCUGAAGUUGAACAGUUCUAUGAAGACCUACAAGACCUAGAACUAACACCCAAAAAAGAUGUCCUUUUCAUUAUAGGGGACUGGAAUACAAAAGUAGGAAGUCAAGAAACACCUGGAGUAACAGGCAAAUUUGGCCUUGGAAUACAGAAUGAAGCAGGGCAAAGGCUAAUAGAGUUCUGCCAAGAGAAUGUACUGGUCAUAGCAAACACUCUCUUCCAACAACACAAGAGAAGACUCUACACAUGGACAUGACCAGAUGGUCAACACUGAAAUCAGACUGAUUAUAUUCUCUACAGCCAAAGAUGGAGAAGCUCUAUACAGUCGGCAAAAACAAGACCGGGAGCUGACUGUGGCUCAGAUCAUGAACUCCUUAUUGCCAAAUUCAAACUGAAAGUGAAGAAAGUAGAGAAAACCCCUAGACCAUUCAGGUAUGACCUAAAUCAAAUCCCUUAUGACUGUACGCUGGAAGUGAGAAAUAGGUUUAAGGGACUAGAUCUGAUAGAGUGCCUGAUGAACUAUGGACGGAGGUUUGUGAAUUGUACAGGAGACAGGAAUCAAGACCAUCCCCAAGAAAAAGAAAUGCAAAAAAGCAAAAUGGCUGUCUGAGGAGGCCUUACAAAUAGCUGUGAAAAGAAGGGAAGCAAAAAACAAAGGAGAAAAGAAAAGGUAUACCCAUUUGAAUGCAGAGUUCCGAAGAAUAGCAAGGAGAGAUAAGAAAGCCUUCCUCAGCGAUCAGUGCAAAGAAAUAGAGGAAACCAAUAGAAUGGGGGAAACUAGAGAUCUCUUCAAGAAAACUAGAGAUACCAAGGGAACAUUUCAUGCAAAGAUGGGCUCAAUAAAGGACAGAAAUGGUAGGGACCUAACAGAAGCAGAAGAUAUUAAGAAGAGGAGGCAAGAAUACACAGAAGAACUGUACAAAAAAGAGCUUCACGACCCAGAUAAUCAUGAAGGUGUGAUUACUCAUACUCACCUAGAGCCAGACAUCCUGGAAUAUGAAGUCAGGUGGGCCUUAGGAAGCAUCACUACAAACAAAGCUAGUGGAGGUGAUGGAAUUCCAGUUGAGCUAUUUCAAACCCUAAAAGAUGAUGCUGUGAAAGUGCUGCACUCAUUAUGCCAGCAAAUUUGGAAAACUCAGCAGUGGCCACAAGACUGGAAAAGGUCAGUUUUCAUUCCAAUCCCAAAGAAAGGCAAUGCCAAAGAAUGCUCCAGCUACCGCACGAUUGCACUCAUCUCACGCACUAGUAAAGUAAUGCUCAAAAUUCUCCAAGCCAGGCUUCAGCAAUACGUGAACCAUGAACUCCCUGAUGUUCAAGCUGGUUUUAGAAAAGGCAGAGGAACCAGAGAUCAAAUUGCCAACAUCCGCUGGAUCAUGGAAAAACCAACAGAGUUCCAGAAAAACAUCUAUUUCUGCUUUAUUGACUAUGCCAAAGCCUUUAAC
ensembl:lncRNA